rnacentral:rRNA from 1 species
GACGUAGGGCGCGAGCGUUGUCCGGAUUUAUUGGGCGUAAAGAGCUCGUAGGCGGUUUGUCGCGUCGUGCUGAUGAAAACCCGAGGCUCAACCUCGGGACCUGCAGUGGGUACGGGCAGACUAGAGUGCGGUAGGGAGAUUGGAAUCCUGGUGUAGCGGUGGAAUGCGCAGAUAAUCAGGAGGAACACCGAUGGCGAAGGCAGAUCUCUGGGCCGUAACUGAC